UUCCACUCCAUGCAUCCGAUGAAGUGGGUUUUAGCGAUGUGUUAGCGAGAGGCUGCAAACCACAGUGUAGCUGAGGCUGAGAAUCUUUUCAGAGAGGGCUGUGUGACACCCAGUAUGGACGGCCCAGAAUUUGAAGUUUCAAGUUCUGGGAUCAAAUUUUCUUCUGGUGUUAACUGGUGUAGCUCCACUGAAGGCAAAAUAGCUGCACCAACUCUCACCAACAGACAAUGAGACCCAUGCAUAGCUUUGAUGGUUCAUUUCACUUUACGAUCAGGAUGUCUCCUUUCUCCAGUUUGAGGAUGUGGUUUUUGGUCCUUGGUAUCUCUGUGCAGGAGCCUCCUGAGCUGCUCACUGCUGCUGUUAAUCCGACCCCUCAUCUUCUCAGCUGUGGGAAGAAUGAACACUCAUUUGCUGUUGUGGGUUGAGUAGGUGCCUGAAAGGUUUGGAAGGAAUCACUGUCUUCUGACCUCUGAUAUGGAUCAGAAUUACCUUUUGCUUUGUGUGUGUGUGUUUCUGCGUCAAAGAGUUCAGUGAAAUAAUGCACAGAGCUGUUGUCACAAGGGAAACCCAGCAACUUUCUGGAGUCUGGCUGGAAUCCUGCAGGGCCACUGUUCUCCUUUAUUUAUGUAUGAUAAUGGAUGUCUCUCUCAAAUGGCAGGCUUCCACUUUAGAUCUUGUCAGCAUAUUGUCAGUGAUAUUAAACCCAUUUAGUUAAACUGAUGCAAGGCCUCAGGCAGAGUUAUGUUGGCACUCCUGGAUGCCUUGGUUGCCUGUGAACAGCCUGUGGUGUUUUCUCUCUCCAGAGGACUGGGUGUGCUGCACCCACUGCAGUGGCUUGUAGACAAUACCAGGGUAUUAGAUCCUGAAAUGGAGCCUGAUGGUGUGGAAAACAGCUUUACUGCCUGUUGCCGGGGUCCUGCCAGCAGCACUAAAUAAAUCAAGGAGUGUUCUAGACAGCUUCUCCAUUAGAGUAUGCUGCAUGUGAACACAGCCUCUCUGGCUACUGUCACCUGAAGAGGAGAGGGCAUUGUGUGUGCUUAUUGUCCUCGUCCCUGGUACAUUAUUCAGAGAGGAAGUAUCUUCUAUUAGCUAAAGUACAGGACCAGGAGUCAGGGAGCCUGGGUUCUAUUCCCAGCACUGACUUGUUGUUGGCUGUGGGCAAGUCUCGUAACCUCUCCGUCUUGUUCCUCACAUCUGUGAAAGGGGGAGGGUAAUGCUAGCCACAAUGGCCUUAGAGAGGGUUGGGAGUGUUGGUUAAUUAAUACUUAUAAGUUGCUUUGAGAUCCUCGGGUGGAGGGCAUCAGAGAUGGGCAGAGGAUUCUCACUGCACUGCCAAAGCCCUUCCCAUCCCUGACUUUUUUUUACCUUCUCAGAUAUCCUGGGAGUCAGGAAGAGCCUCCUUUUAGGAUGCCAGUGUACUAUAAAGCCUCCAGCUCUGCUUUCAGAAGGACUGGUAUCAGCUGAGCAAAGUGAGCAGUGCUGCCUGGGGUGGGUCUUUGGAAGGAUGCCUUGAGGAUGGGGCACUGACCUGCCACACAACAGACCUGACUUCAGUUCUCAGCUCAGCCACUUGGGAGCAGUCACCUAAUCUACAUUACAAAACCUAAACCUAAUUUCCCCAAUACUAAUUUCCACCUACUGUUACUCACACCUUCUUGUCAACUGUCUGAAAUGGGCCACUCUCAUUACCACUGCAAAAGUUAUUUUUCCUCCCUUGGUAUCCUGCUGUCAAUUGAAUUAUCUUGUUAGACUGACCUCACACUUGGUAAGGCAAAUCACAUCUUUUCAUGUAUUUAUACCUGCUCCUGUAUUUUCCACUCCAUGCAUCUGAUGAAGUGGGUCCUAGCCCACGAAAGCUUAUGCCCAAAUACAUGUGUUUGUCUCUAA